AGAGUUUGAUCCUGGCUCAGGAUGAACGCUAGCGGGAGGCUUAAUACAUGCAAGUCGAGCGGGAUCCACCUUUCGGGGUGGUGAGAGCGGCGCACGGGUGAGUAACGCGUACGUAACUUGCCUCACAGUGGGGAAUAGCCCUGGGAAACUGGGAUUAAUACGCCAUAGUAUUACAAGGCUGCAUGGCCAUGUAAUUAAAGUUCAGGCGCUGUGAGAUGGGCGUGCGUGCUAUUAGCUAGUUGGUGAGGUAACGGCUCACCAAGGCUACGAUAGCUAGGGGGCGUGAGAGCGUGGCCCCCCACACGGGUACUGAGACACGGACCCGACUCCUACGGGAGGCAGCAGUAAGGAAUAUUGGACAAUGGGCGCAAGCCUGAUCCAGCCAUCCCGCGUGCAGGAUGAAUGCCCUAUGGGUUGUAAACUGCUUUUAUAUGAGAAGAAACCCCUGGACUUGUCUGGGGCUGACGGUACCAUAUGAAUAAGCACCGGCUAACUCCGUGCCAGCAGCCGCGGUAAUACGGAGGGUGCAAGCGUUAUCCGGAAUCACUGGGUUUAAAGGGUGCGUAGGUGGCUUGGUAAGUCAGAGGUGAAAGCCCAUCGCUUAACGACGGAAUUGCCUUUGAUACUGCCGAGCUUGAAUUAGGUUGAGGUAGGCGGAAUGUGGCAUGUAGCGGUGAAAUGCAUAGAUAUGCCAUAGAACACCAAUUGCGUAGGCAGCUUACUAGACCUAUAUUGACGCUGAGGCACGAAAGCGUGGGGAUCAAACAGGAUUAGAUACCCUGGUAGUCCACGCCCUAAAC
rnacentral:rRNA from 1 species